GGCGGAGGUGGCUACGGGAGCGGUGGCGGCGGUGGCGGUGCCCCCGGCGGCUACGGCGGCGGGGACGGGGGCGGCGGUUCCAGACCUCCCGCCCCCGC
rnacentral:tRNA from 1 species